rnacentral:rRNA from 1 species
AGCGAACGCUGGCGGCAGGCCUAACACAUGCAAGUCGAACGGACCUUCCGGGGUUAGUGGCGGACGGGUGAGUAACACGUGGGAACGUUCCGUUAGGUUCGGGAUAACUCAUGGAAACUUGUGCUAAUACCGAAUGUGCCCUGCGAGUGACAGAUUUAUCGCCUUUAGAGCGGCCCGCGUCUUUUUAGCUAGUUGGUGGUGGUAAUGGCUCACCAAGGCGACGAUCAGUAGCUGGUCUGAGAGGAUGAUCAGCCACAUUGGGACUGAGACACGGCCCAAACUCCUACGCGAGGCAGCAGUGGGGAAUCUUGCGAAAUGGGCGAAAGCCUGACGCAGCCAUGCCGGGUGAAUGAUGAAGGUCUUAGGAUUGUACAAUUCUUUAACCGGGGACGAUAAUGACGGUACCCGGAGAAGAAGCCCCGGCUAACUUCGUG